rnacentral:rRNA from 1 species
CGCAUGGUUCAAAAGUGAAAGACGGUCUUGCUGUCACUUAUAGAUGGAUCCGCGCUGCAUUAGCUAGUUGGUAAGGUAACGGCUUACCAAGGCAACGAUGCAUAGCCGACCUGAGAGGGUGAUCGGCCACACUGGAACUGAGACACGGUCCAGACUCCUACGGGAGGCAGCAGUAGGGAAUCUUCCGCAAUGGGCGAAAGCCUGACGGAGCAACGCCGCGUGAGUGAUGAAGGUCUUCGGAUCGUAAAACUCUGUUAUUAGGGAAGAACAUAUGUGUAAGUAACUGUGCACAUCUUGACGGUACCUAAUCAGAAAGCCACGGCUAACUACGUGCCAGCAGCCGCGGUAAUACGUAGGUGGCAAGCGUUAUCCGGA